GACGAACGCUGGCGGCGUGCUUAACACAUGCAAGUCGAACGGAAAGGCCCUGCUUUUGUGGGGUGCUCGAGUGGCGAACGGGUGAGUAACACGUGAGUAACCUGCCCUUGACUUUGGGAUAACUUCAGGAAACUGGGGCUAAUACCGGAUAGGAGCUCCUGCUGCAUGGUGGGGGUUGGAAAGUUUCGGCGGUUGGGGAUGGGCUCGCGGCUUAUCAGCUUGUUGGUGGGGUAGUGGCUUACCAAGGCUUUGACGGGUAGCCGGCCUGAGAGGGUGACCGGCCACAAUGGGACUGAGAGACGGCCCAGACUCCUACGGGAGGCAGCAGUGGGGAAUAUUGCACAAUGGGCGGAAGCCUGAUGCAGCAACGCCGCGUGCGGGAUGACGGCCUUCGGGUUGUAAACCGAUUUCGCCUGUGACGAAGCGUGAGUGACGGUAAUGGGUAAAGAAGCACCGGCUAACUACGUG
rnacentral:rRNA from 1 species